GACAGAGGGUGCAAACGUUGUUCGGAAUUACUGGGCGUAAAGCGCGUGUAGGCUGCUUCGCAAGUCGGAUGUGAAAGCCCUGGGCUCAACCUAGGAAGUGCAUUCGAAACUGCAGAGCUGGAGUCCUGGAGAGGAAGGCGGAAUUCUCGGUGUAGAGGUGAAAUUCGUAGAUAUCGAGAGGAACACCGGUGGCGAAGGCGGCCUUCUGGACAGUGACUGACGCUGAGACGCGAAAGCGUGGGGAGCAAACAGGAUUAGAAACCCCCGUAGUCC
rnacentral:rRNA from 1 species